GCGGGGCGCAGUGGUGCAUGCCGGUAGUCCCAGCUACUCGGGAGGCUGAGACAGGAGGAUCGCUUGAGUCCAAGAGUUCUGGGCUGUAGUGCGCUAUGCCGAUCGGGUGUCCGCACUAAGUUCGGCAUCAAUAUGGUGACCUCCCGGGAGCGUGGGGCCACCAGGUUACCUAAGGAGGGGUGAACCGGCCCAGGUCGGAAACGGAGCAGGUCAAAACUCCCAUGCUGAUCAUCUUCUGCCUUCUUAUGCACAAACAUGAUUUAUUUCCACCUAGUGAUUAGUAGUAGGUAGACACGU
ensembl:misc_RNA Metazoa_SRP Metazoan signal recognition particle RNA